UCUCUCUCUCUCUCUCUCUCUCCACAUUCAAAGGGUGAUAUGUCCAGCUUCAACUCUCAUCUGCAUUUCAUGAAGAUUAUUAGAUGUGUUAUGGGACUUGAGAUCUAGUGUUGAGCGUUGAGAUCCUUUGGUUGGAUCUACAUCUAAUCCAUCAGUGAUAAAAAUUCAAUGGUCAGACUGUCAGAUUUUCGAUGGAGCUACUGCAUGUUCUCUUCUCCUGUAUACACUGGUCCAGUGUAUCAUGAUGGAAACUUGAAUUUCAAGAGAAGUUAAGAAAAGAAGAUGCGGAAACAGUCAGCCCAGCUGACCCAGUCACUCAGCAAGCCGGGGCCAGGUUCUGAUGCUCUCAUCAAAAGUUAAGAACAGUAUGCUGACUAUUAGUGGAGAGGCCUUUUCAGGUGUUCUUUUCCUUUUACUUCUUAUGGUAAUGUCCCUGUUAUGAAAUGUCACUACCACCAGCGUCAUUUCCACUGCCAUGUCCAAACAUCGUACAAGGCCCUUGGGACCUCCACCUGCAGUCUCUCUGUAACAUGUCCCCAACAAGGGCUACCCACUCUGAAUUCCGCUCCCCUUUGUUUCAGUACACCUGAUAGAAUUAUUGCUUCCUUUUGCCUGGAAACAAAUUGAAUUUUGUUAAAUUUUUAUUUUUCUCAAUGAAUUUCAAUCUUGUCCCUCAUCCAGGUUCCGGCGUGUGCUCAAAAUGAUUGUCGAAGAGACGGUGAUGCCAGAACCUGCUCAUGUGCAUCAAACAAGCUGGCACAGACACCAUCCUAAUGUACUUUCUUCUUUGGGCCAUGAGG